rnacentral:rRNA from 1 species
UACGUAGGGGGCAAGCGUUGUCCGGAAUUACUGGGCGUAAAGGGUGCGUAGGCGGCUCUCUAAGUCGGAUGUGAAAACUCUGGGCUCAACCCAGAGACUGCAUCCGAAACUGGGGGGCUAGGGUUCUGGAGGGGAAAGCGGAAUUCCUGGUGUAGCGGUGAAAUGCGUAGAUAUCAGGAGGAACACCGGUGGCGAAGGCGGCUUUCUGGACAGACACCGACGCUGAGGCACGAAAGCUAGGGGAGCAAACAGG